UGAAAAUUAAACUGCAGAAAACUAAAGUAAUGUUUAACAGUCUCGGAAGAGAACAGCAGUUUACGAUAGGUAGCGAGGCACUGGAAGUGGUGAGGGAAUACAUCUACUUAGGGCAGGUAGUGGCCACGGAUCCGGAUCAUGAGACCAAAAUAACCAGAAGAACAAGAAUGGGCUGGGGUGCAUUUGCCAGGCAUUCUGAAAUCGUGAACAGCAGGUUGCCACUAUCCCUCAAGGAAAAGUGUAUAACGGCUGUGUCUUACCAGUUUUCACAUAUGGGGCAGAAACCUGGAGGCUGACGAAAAGAGUUCUGCUUAAAUUGAGGAGGGUGUAACGUUAAGGGAUAAGAAAAGAGCAGAUUGGGUGAGGGAACAAACGCAGGUUAAUGACAUCUUAGUUGAAAUGGGCAUGGGCAGGACAUGUAAUGAGGAGGGAAGAUAACCGAUGGUCAUUAAGGGUUACGGACUGGAUUCCAAGGGAAGGGAAGUGUAGCAGGGGGCGGCAGAAGGUUAGGUGGGCGGAUGACAUUAAGAAGUUUGCGGGGACAACAUGGCCACAAUUAGUACAUGACCAGGGUAGUUGGAGAAGUAUGGGAGAGGCCUUUGCCCUGCAGUGGGCAUAACAAGGCUGAUGAUGAUGAUGAUCCUUGGGACCUUAUGGCAUUAAAGAGGAGAGUGGUUAUGAAGUAGUGAAGUAACGUAACCAAACACAUAAACAAGUGCAGUGAGUUUUGGUAAUAUAAUAAUUCUCCUGAUUAUAUAAUGUCAGGUAACAUUUUGUGAAAAAUUGUUAUCCAUGACGGCUACAAUACAUGAGGGAAGGUGGUUCCAUUCCCGAGAUGUGUGGGGGAUGAAAGAUUGAAAGAAAUGUGUAACAUGAAUCAAUUCCUACCUUACUGCGAUGAUCAACACGUUUUGAAAUGUACUGAGGCCGCAGUAUGAAGGCGUCAUGAGUGUUGCAUGAUGGAAUAUUUUUAUGAAAUAGUGAAAGGGACUGGCGACCUUGCGGCGGUUAACUAGUGGAAUAAGUACUAGGUUAGUUUUCAUUGAGGUUAUAUUUGCAGUAUGGUUAUAAUUUAAAAAAAUGAAACAAGUAGAGUUAUUUUGUACUAGCUGAAGUGAAAUAAUAAGAUUAACAUGACUGGGAUUCCAUAUUGCAGAUACAUAUUCAAGUUUCGUGUGUAUUAGAGUAUUGUAAAGCUGUAGUUUUAAAGUAGAUGGCGCUUUGGGAAAGUUCCACUGUAAGUACACAAGCAUGUGAUUAGCAUUAAUAAUGACAUGACAUAAUCUAUAUUAAUGGUCCAAAAGUUAUUUGUAAUGUGUACACCAAGAUAUUUAUAUCACAUGACGAAAUCUAAGGGAAUGUUGUUAAGAUAGUAAGUGCUAGGAUUAAAAUUAGAUCUGGAUACAUGCAUUACCUUCCAUUUGUUGUCAUACAGUCGUCAUGAUGGUGUCGAGGCCACUCCAGCUUUGUUGUCCAAAUCUCGUCACACCUUCUGCCCCAUACGUUGAUAGGCUUCUGAUCAAAUCUGUCCACUCAAGAGAUUAUGUGAAAAAUUCAGCAAGAUAUCCUACAUCCGGGCCCUAUAAGAGCCACCCGUACAAUUCUAGGGCUGGACGUCAGUAAAGCGUUUGACAAUGUGUCACAUGCUUCAAUACUCACAAAUCUAGCCCAAAUGAAUGUCGGGAAGCGCACUUAUAGCUAUAUUACAAGCUUUCUCAAGGAUCGCACUGCAGAAAUACAUUUUGGGGACAUUAAAAGCGGACAAUUUCAAUUAGGUACAAGGGGCACCCCUCAGGGUGCGGUCCUCUCCCCCUUCCUUUUCAAUGUGACCAUGCGAAACCUGCCACCCGCCGUGGUUGCUCAGUCGCUAUGGUGUUGGGCUGCUGAGCACGAGGUCGCGGGAUCGAAUCCCGGCCAUGGCGGCCGCAUUUCGAUGGGGGCGAAAUGCGAAAACACCCGUGUACUUAGAUUUAGGUGCACGUUAAAGAACCCCAGGUGGUCGAAAUUUCCGGAGUCCCCCACUACAGCGUGCCUCAUAAUCAGAAAGUGGUUUUGGCACGUAAAACCCCAUAAUUUAAUUUUAAUUUUUUAUGCGAAACCUGCCUCCAUUACUGAAAAGGAUCCCGCAUAUCAAACACUCCAUCUAUGCCGAUGAUAUCACCAUCUGGACCAAUAGCAGUUCCGAUGGAAAAAUCACGGAAGCAUUACAAGCGGCCGCGGAUACCGUACAAAAUUUUGUGCGACAGAAUGGUCUAGCGUGCUCGCCGACAAAAUCGGAGCUAAUCAUCAUCCGAGAUAAAUCAACCAAACACGCCACCGAAAGGGAUGCCACAUCACCUAUACGAGUCAGUAUGGAAGACAGCCCAGUUCUGCCCAUACUGACUAUAAGAGUCCUGGGCAUGCUAAUUCAACAUAACACCCAUAAUUCUGAGGCGAUUGUCCGAUUACGGACGACAGCCCGCCAAAUAUGUGGCCUAAUCAGAUGAGUAGCCACACGACACCGCGGUAUGAAGGAGGCUGAUAUCUGCCAUCUGACGCAGGCUUUCCUGAUCAGUCGCGUCAUGUAUUCCUUCCCUUACAACCACCUACGCCUUUCUGACAAGGAAAAGGUUAACAGCGUCAUUCACACAGCUCAUAAAGCUGCCCUUGGUCUCCCGAGGUAUGCAAACACUGAACGAUUACUUGAGCUAGGUAUAUACAAUACCCUAGACGAACUCGUGGAGGCCCAUAAAACAGCCCAACGUGAACGACUCUCCAGCACCGCAACUGGCAGGGUCAUUUUAAGUAAACUCGGGCUGAAUUCCGUCAUGAAUGCAGCAGGAAGAACAACAUUACUCGGUGCGGUCAAACGCCGUUUGGUUAUAAAACCGUUACCCAAGAACAUGCUCCCUGGGAGACACGACAAGAGGCGGUCUGCCAGAGCCAAGGCCCUUCAAGAAAGGUACCAAAGCAACCAGCACACCGUUUAUGUCGAUGCAGCAAAGCAAAAUCACCAAACUUAUGUAGUGAGCGUCAUGACCGGAGAGGGAAGUAUUCUCAAUGCCGCGACCAUAAAAACAGCGUCCAACGUGGAAGCGGAAGAGACUGCCAUUGCUUUGGCCAUCAUGAAUCCCUCCGUGCAAACUAUCAUAAGCGACUCCAAAAGGGCAAUAGUCAACUUUUCGAGAGGCAGCAUAGGCGUCUGUGCAGCGCGAGUCCUACGGGACUUUACAAAUUAAAAUACCGUUGAACUCGUAUGAGUCCCUGCCCAUUUGGGGAAUCAAGGGAAUGAGGAGGCGCACUGGGUAGCCCAAGGUCUAAUCAACCGGGAGGUGUGCCCCUCAGACUUAGAUCCCAUGGAUGAGGCACCGACGACAUACCACGAGAUAACAAACUACUACAAGCAAAAAAGGUGAAUCUACCCGCCUCCAAACGCAAGCCUCACGCGAGCGCAAGCCUCGAUCUUGCGUCGAAUCCAAACUAAAUCAAUCCCCAGCCCACAUUGGCUAGCCAUAAUUACCAAUGGGCAAUGGAACCCAAUAUGUCAAAACUGCACAAAUCAAACAUUGGCUACCCAAAAUCCCAUUCUUUGGGGGUGCGAGGGCUUACCCCCUCCCAGGUCGCUCCUGCCAGCUCCCUCACAACAGACGUGGGAGGAGCUGCUCAGAAAGCCGGAUGAAAAACUACAAAAAGCCCUCGUUGCCUGGGCUGAAAGGGUCGCUCCUCGUGAGGAGCCAUCCUAGGACUCGGGCCUGCCAGAUGAUAACUAAGCAGAGUCUCAAUAAAGUUGUUACCACCACCCAUUGUCAUCAUAGUCACCAUUAUUCCAUCAUCAUUGCACUGUCGUCAUGCAUUUGUUGUCUUACCACCAUUGUGAUGCAGUCAUGGUGGUUGCAUUGUCGUCAUUUACAGUCUUGUCAUCCGAUUCUCAUCAUACCAGUGAUGUAACCCCAUUGUCCUUAUGCAGUCAUCAUUAUACGAGGGUCGUCCAACUCAAUCUGAGACUUUUUUUUCUUUCAGGUUUAAAUGGCUGCCUAGGCUGGAGUUUUCGUAUGCAGUAGAAACUGGCACCGGUAUCCUGUUACUGGUAGACAGCGCUCAUUUCCCGCGCUUCUGGAUAGACUUAUUCAAGAUGGCAGACAACAGUGUGAAAUGUCUAUGUAGAGCAGCGUGUUGUGAUGAAGUUUUUAGUGAACAAGGGCAUAAAACCUGCUGAAAUUUACAGAAGACUUCAGGCUCACUACGGUGAUGAGACACUCAGUCGCAGUAAGACAUUUAAAUGGUGUAAGCACUUCAAAGAUGGCCAUAUCUCUAUAACUGACAAUCCCGGUCGUGGUAAAUCACAGCCCACGGUAGUCAUUCCUGAUAAUAUUCAGCAUGUGGAGCAGCUGAUCGUGGACAAUCGUCGCACAACCUGUCUUGAAAUUGCAAGGGUAUGUAAUCCGUCAUUAAGAACAGUGAACAAAUAAUUCAUGAUCAUUCGUUGUUCCGAAAAGUGAGUGCAUGCUGGGUCCCAAAGCAGCUGUCUGCUUUUGACAGACACAGAAGAUUUGAAGUAUGUAGAGAACCGAAGGAACACUGUGAAAGGGAAGGCCAGGAUUUUCUGAAUCGCAUGUUGACACGUGACGAAACAUGGGUUCACCAUUCCACCCAAGAUUCCAAAAGAGCAUCGAUACAGUGGAAGCAUAUGGAAUCACCAGCUCCCAAGAAAUUUCGAACAGUUGCGUCUGCUGAAUCAUCAUCCCAUUGUCGUCAUACCGUCUUCGGCUGCACCAUUGUAUGCUUAGAAAGUCAGGGAACACUCACAGAGGAGUGUGGUUGUUUAAGCAAGAAUGCUAUAAAACAUCCUUUACACUGCAAUGUCGUGCAAGAAGCAGGACCUUCAGACCCCCAAGCAAUUCAGCGAGAUCAAGAUUGCCUACUCCCGCACAACAGCUAACACUUAAACAUUUAUGUUGCACACUUGAGUGCCUCGAGAGUUUUCUUUUUAUCGUGCCUGUGUGAUGCACAGCACCAUCUAUUAAUUGACCUUUAUUACAAUGAACUCUCCAGUUGCCAGUGCAA